UACGUAGGUGCAAGCGUUGUCCGGAAUUAUUGGCGUAAAGAGCUCGUAGGCGGUCUGUCGCGUCUGCUGUGAAAAAAACUCAGGCUUAACCCUGAGCUUGCAGUGGGUACGGGCAGACUAGAGUGCGGUAGGGGGAGACUGGAAUUCUGGUGAUAGCGGUGAAAAAUGCGCAGAUAUCGAGGGGAGGGGAAAACACCGGUGGGGCGAAAAGGCGGGGUCUC
rnacentral:rRNA from 1 species